rnacentral:rRNA from 1 species
UACAGAGGGUGCGAACGUUGCUCGGAUUUACUGGGCGUAAAGCGCUUGUAGGCGGGCUGAUGUGUCGGGUGUGAAAUCCCUGAGCUUAACUCAGGAACUGCAUUCGAAACUAUCAGUCUUGAGGAAUUGAGAGGAGAACGGAAUUCCCGGUGUAGAGGUGAAAUUCGUAGAUAUCGGGAGGAACACCAGAUGCGAAGGCGGUUCUACUGGAAAUUAUCUGACGCUGAGAAGCGAAAGCGUGGGGAGCAAACAGG